rnacentral:rRNA from 1 species
GAUGAACGCUGGCGGCGUGCCUAAUACAUGCAAGUCGAGCGAACAGAUAAGGCGCUUGCUCCUUUGACGUUAGCGGCGGACGGGUGAGUUACACGUGUAUAACCUACCUAUAAGACUGGGAUAACUUCGGGACAGCGGCGCUAAUACCGGAUAACAUAUUGAACCGCAUGGUGCGAUAGUGAAAGGCGGCUUUGCUGGCUGUUAUCGAUGGAUACGCGCCGUAUUAGCUAGUUGGUAAGGUAACGGCUUACCACGGCAACGAUUCGUAUCCGACGUGAGGGGGGGGUAGCCCACACUAGAGCGGGGACGCGGUCCAGGCUCCUACGGGAGGCAGCAGUAUGCUACGGUCCGCAAUGGGGGAAAGCAUGACGGAGCAAGGCCGCGUGAGUGAUGAAGGUCUUGGGAGCGUAAAACUCUGUUAUCAGUGAAGAACAAAUGUGUAAGUAACUGUGCACAUCUUGACGGUACCUGAUAAGAAAGCCACGGCUAACUACGUG